AGCAGCAGAGGAAAAGGAGCUACUGGAUGCUAUUUGGACAAUCAAGGUGAAACUUGCCGAUUGCAGAGACAUAAUAACCAAAACCACACAAAACAAAGUAAAGAGUCAGACCAGUGUCUCACAAGCACACCUCGACUCAAAAAAAGCGAAAAUGGAAAAAUUGCAGAAAGAUAUAGUGGGACUUCACCAAG